rnacentral:rRNA from 1 species
UGCAGUCGAACGCAGUAGCAAUACUGAGUGGCGAACGGGUGAGUAUAAUGUGGGUAUCUGCCUUUUGGUUUGGAAUAACACGGGGAAACUUGUGCUAAUACCUCAUAAGUCUUUACGGAGAAAGCUUUAUGCGCCAAUGGAUGAGCCCGCACUUGAUUAGUUUGUUGGUGGGGUAAUGGCCUACCAAGACAAUGAUCAAUAGCUGAUUUGAGAGGAUGAUCAGCCACAUUGGGACUGAGACACGGCCCAAACUCCUACGGGAGGCAGCAGUAGGGAAUCUUGCACAAUGGAGGAAACUCUGAUGCAGCGAUGCCGCGUGAGUGAAGAAGGCCUUUGGGUUGUAAAGCUCUUUCGUCGGGGAAGAAAAUGACUGUACCCGAAUAAGAAGGUCCGGCUAACUUCGUGCCAGCAGCCGCGGUAAUACGAAGGGACCUAGCGUAGUUCGGAAUUACUGGGCUUAAAGAGUUCGUAGGUGGUUAAAAAAGUUGAUGGUGAAAUCCCAGAGCUUAACUCUGGAACUGCCAUCAAAACUUUUUAGCUAGAGUAUGAUAGAGGAAAGCAGAAUUUCUAGUGUAGAGGUGAAAUUCGUAGAUAUUAGAAAGAAUACCAAUUGCGAAGGCAGCUUUCUGGAUCAUUACUGACACUGAGGAACGAAAGCAUGGGUAGCGAAGAGGAUUAGAUACCCUCGUAGUCCAUGCCGUAAACGAUGUGUGUUA